rnacentral:lncRNA from 1 species
AAAACGAGAGAGAGAUAAGGCAACGGGCUCUUACAAUGUGAUAUGGGGGGAUUUUCUUUUAUUAUGAUUAUCCUCUGAUCAUAUGCAUAGAGUGGCAUGAGGAUUUUCCAUGAGAUUAUCCUCAGUCUCUACAAUGACAUAAACUCGUUAUGAUCCUUUUGUAUCCAGGGAUCAAAAGGCAUGCUCUUAGAUCUCCCAUUAAUUUUGUAUGUUGAAAUAUAUACAAAAAUCAACAUUGGUAUCAGAGCCAAUGAGGGUUAUUUUUUAUUUUGAAUGUAUUUGCAUGAAACAUG